GUCUCUCUUGAGUGGAUCCUGAGUACGACGGAGCACGUGAAAUUCCGUCGGAAUCUGGGAGGACCAUCUCCUAAGGCUAAAUACUCUCUAGUGACCGAUAGUGAACCAGUACCGUGAGGGAAAGGUGAAAAGCACCCCGGAAGGGGAGUGAAAUAGAACCUGAAACCGUGUGCUUACAAGUAGUCAGAGCCCGUUAAUGGGUGAUGGCGUGCCUUUUGUAGAAUGAACCGGCGAGUUACGAUUUGAUGCAAGGUUAAGCAGUAAAUGUGGAGCCGUAGCGAAAGCGAGUCUGAAUAGGGCGUUUAGUAUUUGGUCGUAGACCCGAAACCAGGUGAUCUACCCUUGGUCAGGUUGAAGUUCAGGUAACACUGAAUGGAGGACCGAACCGACUUACGUUGAAAAGUGAGCGGAUGAACUGAGGGUAGCGGAGAAAUUCCAAUCGAACCUGGAGAUAGCUGGUUCUCUCCGAAAUAGCUUUAGGGCUAGCCUCAAGUGAUGAUUAUUGGAGGUAGAGCACUGUUUGGACGAGGGGCCCCUCUCGGGUUACCGAAUUCAGACAAACUCCGAAUGCCAAUUAAUUUAACUUGGGAGUCAGAACAUGGGUGAUAAGGUCCGUGUUCGAAAGGGAAACAGCCCAGACCACCAGCUAAGGUCCCAAAAUAUAUGUUAAGUGGAAAAGGAUGUGGCGUUGCCCAGACAACUAGGAUGUUGGCUUAGAAGCAGCCAUCAUUUAAAGAGUGCGUAAUAGCUCACUAGUCGAGUGACACUGCGCCGAAAAUGUACCGGGGCUAAACAUAUUACCGAAGCUGUGGAUUGUCCUUUGGACAAUGGUAGGAGAGCGUUCUAAGGGCGUUGAAGCAUGAUCGUAAGGACAUGUGGAGCGCUUAGAAGUGAGAAUGCCGGUGUGAGUAGCGAAAGACGGGUGAGAAUCCCGUCCACCGAUUGACUAAGGUUUCCAGAGGAAGGCUCGUCCGCUCUGGGUUAGUCGGGUCCUAAGCUGAGGCCGACAGGCGUAGGCGAUGGAUAACAGGUUGAUAUUCCUGUACCACCUAUAAUCGUUUUAAUCGAUGGGGGGACGCAGUAGGAUAGGCGAAGCGUGCGAUUGGAUUGCACGUCUAAGCAGUAAGGCUGAGUAUUAGGCAAAUCCGGUACUCGUUAAGGCUGAGCAGUGAUGGGGAGAAGACAUUGUGUCUUCGAGUCGUUGAUUUCACACUGCCGAGAAAAGCCUCUAGAUAGAAAAUAGGUGCCCGUACCGCAAACCGACACAGGUAGUCAAGAUGAGAAUUCUAAGGUGAGCGAGCGAACUCUCGUUAAGGAACUCGGCAAAAUGACCCCGUAACUUCGGGAGAAGGGGUGCUCUUUAGGGUUAACGCCCAGAAGAGCCGCAGUGAAUAGGCCCAAGCGACUGUUUAUCAAAAACACAGGUCUCUGCUAAACCGUAAGGUGAUGUAUAGGGGCUGACGCCUGCCCGGUGCUGGAAGGUUAAGAGGAGUGGUUAGCUUCUGCGAAGCUACGAAUCGAAGCCCCAGUAAACGGCGGCCGUAACUAUAACGGUCCUAAGGUAGCGAAAUUCCUUGUCGGGUAAGUUCCGACCCGCACGAAAGGCGUAACGAUUUGGGCACUGUCUCAACGAGAGACUCGGUGAAAUCAUAGUACCUGUGAAGAUGCAGGUUACCCGCGACAGGACGGAAAGACCCCGUGGAGCUUUACUGUAGCCUGAUAUUGAAAUUCGGCACAGCUUGUACAGGAUAGGUAGGAGCCUUUGAAACGUGAGCGCUAGCUUACGUGGAGGCGCUGGUGGGAUACUACCCUAGCUGUGUUGGCUUUCUAACCCGCACCACUUAUCGUGGUGGGAGACAGUGUCAGGCGGGCAGUUUGACUGGGGCGGUCGCCUCCUAAAAGGUAACGGAGGCGCUCAAAGGUUCCCU
rnacentral:rRNA from 1 species